GAUGAAGUGGCUGAAAUAUAGGCGGUAAAUUGUAAAUUUAUUUAUGGUAUCUACCCUUCAUCA
rnacentral:tRNA from 3 species